UACAGAGGGUGCGAGCGUUUGUUCGGAAUUAUUGGGCGUAAAGGGCGCGUAGGCGGCCUGGCAAGUGGAAGGUGAAAUCCCUCGGCUUAACCGAGGAACUGCCCUCCAAACUGCUUGGCUUGAGUCCGGGAGAGGUGAGUGGAAUUCCCAGUGUAGCGGUGAAAUGCGUAGAUAUUGGGAGGAACACCAGUGGCGAAGGCGGCUCACUGGACCGGAACUGACGCUGAGGCGCGAAAGCGUGGGGAGCAAACGGG
rnacentral:rRNA from 1 species